AAAAAGUUAUAACCGUUAACCAUUUCUGCUUGUCGUUUUUUGCGGUUACCUACUGUCGUUUUAUUUGUUAAUUUUUUGGUGGCCGGUACUCGCGCAGAUUUUAAUUGAUUGAUGGUUAUAGAAUAGUGUUAAUUGAAAUUUAAGUUGAGGCUGCGAAGAACGCAUUGCAUUGAAGAACAGCACGGCUGUGUGGACAAACUCUACCAUUGGUCAGGAUUCUUUCCCCCGUUUUGGAAGCUUUGGUUGGCCAAUCGACUCAGCUAGCUGACAUGGACCCGGAGCGCAAGGCUUUAAAUUCCAUAGUUCACCCGGCGCGUAGAGGACUGUCUCGUCUGUGGUGUUUUGAAAGUGAAAAGCGUUGAGAUGUGCAAAACUAGUGAAAUAAGGUGAAAUAUAAUAAAAUGCUUGAAAUAUA